rnacentral:lncRNA from 1 species
UGCAGCCGCGGCCCCGCCCGCGAUUCGAAUCUCCCGCCGCAGGGCGGUCACGUGGGGCCGCGCGGGGGCUGUCGGGACUUGUAGUUCUCGGCGCGGGGCUGAGGCCUGCUGUGCCACCCGGCCCAAGUGGCCGCUGGUGUCACCCGUCACGGGUGGCUGGUUGUGUCACCCGCCACAAGUGGGUGGUUGUGUCACCCGUCACGGGUGGCUGGUUAUGCCAUCCGUCGUGGGUGUCCGGUUGUGCCCCCUGUCACAAAUAGAUGGCUCUGUCACCCAUCACAGGCGUCCGGUUGUGCCACCCGUCACGAGUCACCAGUUGUGUCACCUGUCGGGGGUGGCCGGUUGUGCCACCCGUCACAAGUGGCCGGUUGUGUCGCCUGUCACGGGUGGCCGGUUGUGCCCCCACGCGGCCGGUCGCGCCCCCUGUCACAAGCAGACGAUUGUGUCACCCAUCCCAAGCGCCCAGUUGUGCCACCCACCACAGGUGGCCGCUUGGGCCACCCGCCACAGCCGCCACGCGCCCGCAGGCCCCGGUUACCAUGGCACGGCACGGCCCCACGGUGGCGGAGCUGAAACCGGAGCCUGCGGGGCCAUUGCGGCAGCGAGCCCUCCCCGCGGAGCCCUGGCCUCGGCCCGCGUUCCUGCCGCUCCCCGGGCACCCAAGGGCCGCCGGUGGCCGUCACCAGCCGGCUGCGAGGCCAGGUGGCACUCGGGGACACCUCAGAAAGCCUCAUCCUCCGCCCAGGGAGCCGUGCUUCGCUCCCUGCCCGCUCGGAACCUAAAAGGACAACAGUGUGUCACUGCCCAUGGCUGCAGAACUGAGAGCACAGCCCACAGCCCCCGUGGACCCCACAGCCCCCGCGGACCCCACAGACCCCACAGCCCCCGCGGACCCCACAGCCCCCACGGACCC